rnacentral:lncRNA from 1 species
GGGUAAAGUGAAUAGUACCAUGAUUGACUUUUUAGUGUAAAAAUAUAGUUUUUCAUUAAAAUAAACAAUACCGGGAUCUUUUCAUUAAAGUUCUCUAGAUUUGAAUGUUGCAGGUUAUUAUUUAACAUGGUAUAAAAUAUCGAUGAUAUCGGAAAUAUCGGUAGUCCAAAAACAUGAAAAUUUCGAGAUAUUAUCGAUAUCGAUAAAAAUUGAAUAAAAACCACGGAAAUUGUAAAAAAAACUUGGAAAUUUUUAUUGAAACUUUGGAGAAUGUUUAUUUAGUCAAUUAUCUAUUAGUUUAUCAAAAAAAAUAGAAGGAAAUGCAUUACAUGAUGGAUUUAACUUAUUUAAGUUUAUUAUACAGCGAGCUGGCAAACACUGUGAGUGUAGAAAAUAUAUAGUAAUUAAUGAAAAAAAGAUUAAACACACCAUAAUCAUUUAUAUAUAAUGAUUUACUACAAUAUUUUACACUUUAUACAUUGCAUAUAUGAGUGAUUUAGUAACACAUAAAGUUCCUGUGAGGUUCAAAAUAUUCACUAUCUUCAUCAUCUCUAUGUGUAGAGUAAGUUUAUUGUGAAGAGUAUUCAUCAAAUGAUAAAUCUCCAAAAUAAUUUUGCAUGUAAUUGUUAAUAUGCCACUCAUAUAAAAGUGAUAUAUGGUGGUUACGGUGUUGGAUGAGUAAAAUGGGAGGGGUUCAAAUCCCCUUUGUGUUUUUUUUUCCCUCCCUUUUUUCCCUUUUUUUCCUUUUUUUUUUCUUCUUUUUUUUCCCUUUUUUUUUCUUCUUUUUCUUUCUUUUUUUCCUCCUUUACAUCAAUAUUUUCGAUAUUUUAGCGAUAUUACACUGAUAUUUUGACAAAAUAUUGCUGAAGUGUAAGCGAAAUUAUCAAAAUCGAUAUUUUUCGAUAUUAUCGAUAUUUGUACGAUAUGUACAUGGAUAUGUUCCGAAAUAUCCGUGAUUCGAAAAAACUGAUAUAUCCUCGAUAUUUCGUCGAUAUUAUCAAUAUUUCAGACUAUGGUAUUUAAAGAAUGAUUUAGUUGGUGAUUUAGAUUUUAAUGCAGCAGCCUGCAGGAGAUUAGUACUUUGUUGGCUCAUCAAAGAUCGGAUCAGGUUCACAUGUGUUGGGGACAGAAUACUAGGUUGAUGCAUGUAUGCUGUUCUUCCACGUUUCUCUAAUAAACAAUACAAAAAAGAAAAUAAUAAAUAAAUAAAAUUAAGGCUGAAUUGAGUUUUAUUAGAGAUCGUCUCAUAAUAUAAAACCCGCUCCCUAAUCUCUCAACAUUGUCCGUGGACCGUGAUGAUGUUGAAACAAAAGAAAAGCCAUGUGCUCAUAAAUGCAUACAUCAAAUUUUAUGUUUUGCCUUAUUGCUUCUCUCUCCUCCGAAUCUCACUCAUCUUCAUUAUUCUCUUAUUUAAACGGUUACGAUUAAGUCACUUAAAUAUCUUGUUUUGAAUUUUUUUAUUUAAAAAAAAA